rnacentral:rRNA from 1 species
AUUGAACGCUGGCGGAAUGCUUUACACAUGCAAGUCGAGCGGCAGCGCGGGGGCAACCCUGGCGGCGAGCGGCGAACGGGUGAGUAACAUAUCGGAACGUACCCAGUCGUGGGGGAUAACUAUCCGAAAGGAUAGCUAAUACCGCAUACGCCCUACGGGGGAAAGCCGGGGAUCUUCGGACCUGGCGCUAGUAGAUGAGCCCGCGUGAGAUUAGCUUGUUGGUGGGGUAAUGGCCUACCAAGGCAACGGAUCUCUAGCUGGUCUGAGAGGACGAUCAGCCACACUGGGACUGAGACACGGCCCAGACUCCUACGGGAGGCAGCAGUGGGGAAUAUUGGACAAUGGGCGAAAGCCUGAUCCAGCAAUGCCGCGUGUGUGAAGAA